AUGCAAAGCAAUUCAAGGAAAAGAGAAGGAGAGGAAUUUCGCAGUCUCUCAGGACAUGUGCAGAAGGGAGGAUUUCUGGAGCCUAAACAAGAGGAGCCCAGGAGAUGCUGGUGUGAAGGCUCACUGCAAGCACCUGCUGCUUCUGGAGGAGUUCCUGUGGCAAUGCAUGUCCUCAGGAUGAAUAGCAAUUACGCCGCUAAAAACAAGAUCACCACACCUGUACAAGAAAAGACAAGCAAGCCCAAAACAUCUGUUUGCAUCCACCUGCCAAGCACCUGUUCCGCUGUUUCAAUGCCAUUUGAUUGCUGGAGAUGUAGAGGCUCUUGUGAGGCCGGUGGUCACACAGGGAACUGUAUGCAGAAUCCAUCAGCCCAUGCUCCUCAUCAUGAACUCAGUUAUUCUUUGAGACCAUCUCCCAGAGAUGAGGAAGAUGUGUUAAUCCAAACGAAGAGACGCAGCCAAGCUUGGAGCAUCCUUUCUGCUGCUUCCCAAGGUAAGCCUGCAGCUGGCGUGGCUUCGUGCCUUCAGCCAAGGCCAUUUUGA
rnacentral:lncRNA from 1 species